CAAACUGAAAGUUCAAAUAGACUUACAAACUCAGACUUUGACAAACAGCAAGACAGACGAGAAUCGAGAUAUUUGAUUGAGCCGUUCCUCCUAUUCACCACUCUCAGUGUCUGGUCAUAUUCCAUUAAAGAUUCUGAUUGAGUCUUCUGGGAAGCGAAACACUUAAGUCAAGUUGCUGAAUGACUGGUAGAGUGGAUAUAAUCCUAUUUGUAAAGUCAGCCAAUGAAACAAUCAGUCGAAAAGAAUGACUUUGUCAAUUGAAGACCUGUCUUAGUUAGGGUUUUA
rnacentral:lncRNA from 1 species